rnacentral:rRNA from 1 species
UACGGGGGGGGCAAGCGUUGUUCGGAAUUACUGGGCGUAAAGGGUUCGUAGGUGGCCAACUAAGUCAGACGUGAAAUCCCUCAGCUUAACUGGGGAACUGCGUCUGAUACUGGUUGGCUUGAGUGCAGGAGAGGAACGCGGAAUUCCAGGUGUAGCGGUGAAAUGCGUAGAUAUCUGGAGGAACACCGGUGGCGAAGGCGCCCACCUGGCCUGUUACUGACGCUGAAGCGCGAAAGCUAGGGGAGCAAACGGG